ensembl:lncRNA
GAAGAGCCAUCCAGAGCUCCCAGCUCUCAGCAGUGGGCAGGCUGGAUACACCUGGCUCUCGACUCCAACAGCAAAUCUUAUUUUUUGCCACCAGAGAUGGUGUUAAUAGCCACACGCUUUUUCAGGACCCAGGACAAUGUCACAGGCCAGGGAGGGGCAUGUGGACGUCUGGCUUCUUUUAGGCGUGAAUUGACUUUUUUUCCCUGUGAAGAUACCACACUAUGUGUGUUUUAUAAGGAAUGGACAGAAAAUAUGGCUUGCCAAUCUACUUACUGCAAGGAGCUAUAGGGCCAGUAGUAUCCCUGGUUAUAUGUAUUUAAAAAUUAAUGUGCUUACAUGUUGUCAGUGUGCAUGUUAAAUUGAAGCAGUAGGGACCAGCCUUCAAACAAACCACUUAGAAAUUGCUUUUCCUUUCCGUUUAUGUGUCAGUAAAUACUUGCACAUACGUUUCUGCAAAAUUCCAGAAUGUGCUAGGGUGUGCACAUUUUCCCACAUACACGUUCAUCCUACACAGAGAGAAUUGCUCAUUAGGAUGGUUCGGUUCUGCCUGUUAAGGAGGGCGCAUUGGCGAGGAGGAGGGCUUUCUGCUCUCCUCCUCCGUGGCUUCUGGGCUCUGGUAGGCAGUAAAGUGGCUUCCUCAGCCUAUGUUACCUUCUAGCUUACUGAUUUAAAAGGUGUCCCCCUCUGGGUUUCAGGACUCAAAAUAUCAUGAGAAACUGCUUCUGUUCUGAUGCAGUGCAGAAUGCAUCUCCUUUGGUCAGGCCACUGCAGGCCUCUGCUGCUUGUGGAAUUUGCCGACUCCCAGACUGCUAGUGAUCUACACAUUUGUGCCUUGCAGGUACACCCCUCUGAUCCAGUGGAUAGCACUCAGCUCUUCUGCCUGAGAGGGGAUCAAAAUGCUGGCGAUUCCCAAGGGACAGCAGGAGCCCACGCUGACCGUCACGGUGCCCACGGCCCCAGCGUGGCUCAGCUUCUGCUCCAGAGUGAGAGCCACCCGUGGGGGAGGAGCCGUGGACGCCGCGACCUGCUGAACGGGUGUUUCCUCAUCACCACCACCUGCAGGCUCAACCAAGGCCACCUGCUCCACGAUGGCCUCGUCCUCGGGUCCCUGUCUACUCGGAUGCAGGCGUUAACAGAGCCAUGGAGCCCGGGCACCGAGGUUUGGCAAGGAGGGCACCUGAGGCUGCUCCAGAGCCCAGGUGGAGGAGGAGGGUGUGCAGGGGCUGAGGAAGAUGUCCCCAGAGUGAGGGAUGGCUACCGGGUGGAGGAAAGAAAUCUCCAGCUGCUCCUGUGUCGGAGCACCGAGACCUAGCGUGUACAAGGGCUCCCAAAAUGAACGCCAGCGGCCACCCCAGCCCAUCAGUGCCAAACGGAUUGAACAGAUGCUUCUCAAAAAGAGAAGUACAAGUGGUGGUAAGCAUCUGAGCAACCGCACCUCGGAACCACGCUGAGCAUCUGCCUCACCCCAGUCGGAGUGGCCGCCAUCAAGAACACAAAACAGGACGAUCGCGGGAGAAUGUGGGGAAGGCGUCCUCUGUCCUGCCGGUGCGGGUGUACAUCAGUGCGGCCACUGGAAAUCUGGACAGGAAUUCCUCAAAAUACAGAGCUGCCAUGCAACCCGGCCCGGCUCGGGCCUCCUCAGUAUAAGAAGCAAUUAGAGUGUGUUACCCAUCUGGACCCCUGCAUACUCACCUUUAUCACACCGCAGGUCACAACAGCAAGGUAUGGAACCGUUGAUGAGUGAUAAGGAAAUGUAGUAUGUAUGUGCAGCGGAGCAUUAUUCAGCCAUGAAGAAGAGCAAAAGUGUGUCCUUCACUAAAAAAUGCAUGGACCUGGGGACCAUCGUGUCAAGCAGAAUGAGCAGAUGCAGAAGGUUAGGUGUCAUGUUUUAUCUUAGAUGAAAAAUCUAAAACUAAAGAAAGAUGACUGGGGAGUAGAAGGUAGACUUCUGGAGAUGAGGAAGAGACAGGCAGAGGUAAGAGAGAGGUGAUGGGGAUAAAAAUAUUCAGAAUGUGCUGUGUGUGUGGAGGAAAGUGGACAAAAUGAACCCCGCGUCCUGUAGGACCAAGGCGCACGGAUGAGUGAGUAACGGUAAAGGGCCAGGACCCAGCCCGUGCUUCAACCAAGCACCUAGCACAGAGCGCCAGCCACCAACGGCAGGGUUUAGGGCCUUUGUGCAUCCACCCUGUGUUCCUCACAUCCCCAGGCAGCCGGUGGGAGCCCAGAUGAGAGGAGUCCCAUGGUGGAGACUCACGCAAACCUCUCUGAAGGUAGAGGCUGACGCCCGGGAGCAGGGGGCAGAGGUCGCUGCUGGUGCAGCGUUCAGAGCCCAGGAACAGACUUGGCUGCCAGACCUGGUAUCCAACUACACAGAGCAAGAGAGAGCGCAAACCAGGUAGAACAAACAGCUUGUGUAAAGGUCCUGGGGUAGGAAGGAUGUUAAGAAAAUAGAGAGGUAGCCAGAGAGGUGGCACAUGCUGUAAUCCCCCGCACUCAGGAGGCUGAGACAGGUGGGUCCCUGCAAGUUCAAGGCCAGCCUGGGCUACACAGUGUGAGGCACCUUGCAAGCCUUUGAAGUUACAGCGUGUUGGUCAUUUGUUGCUUUGAGACAAUCAUUUCUUCUUCAUUCCUUCAGCCUGCUGGGCCCCGGGAGGUUCUAGACAAAACCAAGAAAGGGACUUGGCCAGUGGGGCUUCUGGCGUGGUCUGAGCUGGGAUUGAUGAAUGACUCAAAGUUCUUUCUCCCCACUCUGGCAAGAACUUGGGCGGAACUUCUGUGCCACAUCCAGGACUAGGAGCUUGCCAAGUUUGUGUCCUUAAAAUAAAGUGAGUUCCAUGAUGGGAGGCAGAAAAGUAGAAAAUGUGACUUUUCUUGAUUGGGUAACUAAGAACCAGUCAGUAGGCAGGAGCCAUUUGGGGCCAAAGAGCUGUUCAUUUAAAGUGUUUAUUGACACCUGGAAAUAGGAAGUAAACUUCAAAUGCUGUUUUCACAGCAUUUUACUCUCUGUAAUGGUGACAAAUCCAAGCAGAUACCAACAGGGGAGCUCCAAAGUCAUUUUUGCUGGGUUUCCUUAGCGGAAACAGUCUCACACUGAGGGCUCUGGGGAGAGAGGGAGCCCGAGGAUGACCCUGUGGAAGGUGCCAGAUGGCUUCCGGUUUGGUGUGCUGCUGCUGAUUGCUUCCAGAUAGUUUCAGUUUAUGUCGGUUUGCUGGUGGCCCUGGGGAUCCUCUUCCUCUGGGUCUGGCCCUGCUACAUCUCCUGCUCUGUGGAGGACAGCACAGGGGGAAUUGCUGUCCACCCUUGCAGGAUUCCAUUUGGAUCUGACCAUCCACAGUGGGCCUGGGACCCCUCCAGGCACAGGAGUGAGGGGUGUCUCAGCAGUCACCUCUCAGAACACUCCCUCGGGGCUGGGGGCUGAGCUGUGUCUGGCUUCUGUCUCUGGAGACAGAGUGAUGGGAAUCUCUGCUUCCCUCCUGGACAGACAUCCAUGGGGAAAGAAACUUCACCCUUAAAACUGUUCCUGGUUACCACUGCCCCUCCCAGGACAGGGAUACUCAGGCAUGAGGGGUCGUAUUUCCCUUGAGCGUCUGUUGACAGCAGACCCCUUUCCCAGAGAAGUCCCCAAACAUGGAUAUGUUUAUGUCUAAGCUCCAGGGCUCCUUGGAAGCACUGACUCCUGCCCAUGACCCCAUGGGAAGCCGGCAACAGACACAACAAAAAAGAUAAAUCUCUCUGAUGGUGUCUUAGUCACUUUCCUGUCCCUGAGACAUAGUACCCCAACAUCCACAACUUGAGGAGGGGCUUCCUUUGGCCCAUGGUUUCAGGGGGGUCAGUCCCUGGUUGCCUGGCUUCAAGGCAGAAGCAGCAUGGCGGAAGGGCCUGGUGAGGAGAGCUGCCACCCCAUGGCAGCCAGGAAGCAGAGAGAGGGAGGAGCCAGGGGCAAGAAUGCACCCUUCCAGGUCACUCCCAGUGACCGCCUCCAACUGCCCGGCCUCCUAGCAGCACAUUCAGCCCUGAGCUCAUGCAUGGGGGGGAUCCACUGGUGAGCACAGCACCCCACGAUCCAGUCCCUUCCACACACUGAGACUUUGGGGACGUUGCAGAUGUGAACCGUAAGGAGGGUGAGCGUGGGGGCGGAACGAGGGCAUCUGUCCGCAGCCUGGUCCUAACCCUGCUGCGCUCUGUCCUCUCCCCAUCUCCCCUCCUGCAGCAGGGGCACCACUGAGGUGACCCCACAACCCACGGCCACCCCGCAACCUCCUGGCAUGGUGCGGCGGGGCAGCUGGUGUUGUGAAUCAGGCCGAUACCAAUCAGAGAACGGCUACUUCACAACACCAGGGUCUCACCCCACCACAGCAGCGCUCUGGACCAGAACCAGCACCGUGCCCGUCCUCUGCAGAGGGUCAUCGUGGGACCCCUCCGGGCAGGACUCCGGCACAGCUCUCCUGGUCCUGGCUUCCCAUGCAGCCCCAUGGCAAAUGCUGGCUCCUGAGGCUGCUGCUUAUCCCAGCACACAUAGCUCCACUUUGGGAAAAAGCCACUCCCGGCCACAUUAGCUUCCCACAGCCCUGGGACCGCUCCAGCGCCACCCAGCCCAGCAUUCCCUAUGGGUUCACAGGAACUAUAGGGCGGGAGUGGCCACUUAGUGGUGGGAGCUUCGCCAGGGCAAAGGAAGGGCAGGGAGGACCUGGUUAAAGGACGGUGGCCUUGGAGACUCCUUUAAAGGGUCCACAGGGCUUCCUGUCUGUGUUCAGGCUCACGUCUGUUUCCUGGCCGGCCCCAGGUCCCCUGAAGCAUCGCUCCUGCCGUGAGCAGCAGGAGACUUGCAUGGCUGUCCACUGGGCACACUGGCCACAUGACUGCUGGGCGAGAACCAAGCACGAGGCCGUCCCCUCCUACCUCUGGUCUGUCCCUCUCUUCCUGUCGGGGAAUACAUGCCAUUACCUGAGCUGGCAGGUGGCCUCCUCCCCCGAGGGCCCCACAGAGCUGAAAAGCCCCAUGGGGUCUCCAGAGCCGAAUGUUUGAUUGCCCGCCCAGUCUUGCAAGUGGAACCACCAUUUUUCAGAAUCUAGGCAGAAUUCCCAAGACGGAGUGGCAGGGGUUGCCCACUGUCCCUUCUGGGUCACGCAGAAAGAGAGCACCCCAUCCCUCUGGCUGUGUAGGGCACAGAGUCCCGGGUCUGCUCUGAUGACCCCAGGCCGCGGACAGGGCUGCUGCUGCUGCCCGAGAACCAGAGAGAGGGACAAGACCACGCUGACGCAGGCAGCGCUGCAGUCACACGCAGAGCCUGGUGGCUAUCACCUUGGAGUCAGGGAAGGGCCUGAUGUCUGGGGCUCUGUUCGGGAACAGACUGGCUCAGGGAUGGAGAGCCACAGCAGGUCUGUGUGUGUCCUUCAAGCCGUGCUUGUUCCCUGGGGAAGCCCUUCGUCUUUGCUGUCGUGCAUGGGAUCCUCAGGCCUUGGAGAGGACACGCUGUGUGGGGCAGGUGCUGCCCGUGAGCUCUGUCCACAGCCAUUGACCGCCACCCUGACAGGUCAGUGCCGGGCUCACCCCGUCCAUCCUGUGGUCGCUGGCAGCCCUGCCGUUCCAACCCAGUCUGCCCCGACCCACUGCUCCUUGCUGCCGAGAAGGAAGGGACAGAGAGGAACACGGAGUCCCCAGGGCUCUGGCCCCACCCAGAGGCCCCACUCCAGCUUCUCCCUCCUGCUCCCCUUGCACAAAGCGAGGUUCCAGCCUGUUUCAAGCACUUCGUCACGGAACCUGAUUAAAACCCCCCUAACGUUUUAAAUGUUUAAAUGGGGUCAUGCCCAGAGAGAGCCGGGUGAGACACCGCUUCCCUUCAGCGUCAAGCUGGCAAAUUCUUCUGAGGUCUGCACGGUGACCUCAGAGGGCGAGGCUGCAGACAGACGUGUGACACCUCAGCUGCUGCAGGGAGCCCUUCCCAGAUCUGAGCUCCAGCCAGAGCCCUGCCCCGGGCCGCACCUCUGACCACCAGGUCUUGGUCUCCAAAAUGCUCCUCCUUCCUCCAAAACACCCCAGCGCUUCUCUUAGGUGGACUUGAUGCUCCCUGCCAUAAGCAAACAGGCGUGCCCAGCCCCUUUCAGGGUCUGACUUAGACUCUGUCCACAGGAAGCCCAAGUUCAGCCACUCUGCGUGGUUGCUUCUACGGGUCCUGCACAAGCAGCUGGCCCCAUCCGGGGCCUCAGGGUUCUCAGAGGAGACCCAGUGCAGACAGACACAGCCUUGGCUGUAGAGAGUUGUCACAUGCUCGCUUGACACUCACUGUCUUGUCCUCUUAACGAGUCACCAUCUUCUGACUGCCGGCACUUCUGGGAAAAGCUGACUUUGGACGGGAAGUAUCCUGAGUCAUACCUGGGAUCAAUAGCAGAGGUUCCCACACGCGGGCCCUGCAGCAGCCAGCACCCCGGGACUGUCGGAGAUGCAGAGCCCCCACCCCACCCUGGCAUCAGGAGCUCCAGGUGGGGGAGACCCAGCAGUCUGCCCAGCAGCAAGCACCCCGGGAGGCCACAUGAGCUGGAGAAGCACAAAAACGGGGUCAGAGAUGGGAGGAAAAAGUGUCCAGUGGGAAACAGUGAGAGGCGUGGUAGUGAGGCCUCCGUGCCUGCGUUGCAGCAGCGUGGACAAGGCCGUUACUGAAGGGGAGUAAUCAGCUUCAGAAACUCACUUCCCAGUCUUAACAGUAAACCUCCAGGUGUUCUGGGUUGUGAACCCUUGACCAUUCCCAUCUGUGUCUGGAAUAAGCACGCCCAGAAUGCGGUGUCCCUCCCCACGGGGGCCAAGGGAAGAGAUGUUUCCCCCAGUACAGUCUGCGGUUCUCUUUCUCGUAAUUGACCAAAUUCCUGACACAGUAGAGGGCUCGUUUUAAGGGCUGUAUGUUUCUGCCACAGUGCAUUUUAAGAAGAGGAAGUACAGGCAAAGAGGUUUCGCAUCCUGCUGCCAGACUGGGAGCCCCCAGGGCUGAGAUUUCAGCCCCUCCCUUAGCCCUGCCUUGGCUUUAGCCCCGCCUGCCUGAGCAAGUAGGGACCGGAACAGCUGGCACGGCCACCUCGGAGCAGCAGUGUCCAUCUGGCACCUGCCAGUGUCCCUGAGCCUAACCUGUGAUGUCGUGAAGACCAAACACGGGCCCACUGUUUCAUUUCACCGUGUACGUUGUCGUUUUCGCCUUGUGAUGGGUUAUUUUGUUUUGUUUUUCUUCGGUGGUGGAUGGAGGCUUCCUUGCUUGUUCUGCUGCUAUCCCAGGCAUUUAUCCUCAUCCCAGCAGAUGGUCUCAGGUGUUCUUUUUGCAAGCCACAACCAAAGACCUUCCCAACCCCAGCCAGCCUUGGCAGAUACUGCCCCUAAGCAUGAAACUCUUUAAAAAACAACAACAACAGUGAUUUGAGGCCAGAACCCUUAUCUCCUUCAGCUCACCUACCGCAGCCAGCACUGUCAGGACUCUGUGCGUUCUUCGCUGAGCUCCAGGGAGAGCUUAUGGGCCUGCAGGACAGAGUUGAAAUUCAACUUAUUGUUGACUUUAGUGGAUUUUGGAGGGAGGAACAAAAAUCUAUUCCAUUAUUCCCUUUGUGCAUUGUUACAGCUUAUAUCUAGAUGUCCCUCCAAAGCCUCACACACUCAUAGUGGGACUUUGGGGAGGUGGCUGGAUCAUGGGAGCAUGGUAACUGAAUUGUCCACUGAUUGUUAGCAUGGCUCUGGGUGUGGCUGAGGGAUUUACUGAAGACAGAAGACCCACAUGAGUGUGAGUGGUCCCAACCAAUAGGCUUCCAGCCUGAAUGGAAUAAAAGGGAAAUGGAGGCUCCCUGGCUUCCGCCUGCCUACCCUGCCAUGGACUGUUUCUCAUCUUGGAUGCCCUUCUGCCAUGCCACCCUGCCUUGGAGCUAGUCAACUGUGGACUGAAACUUCUACAAAUUGUGGGCUGAAAUAAACCUUUUCUCCUUUAACCUGUAGAUGUCAGGUAUUUUGUCUCAGCAAUGUGGAAAGUAAUUUAAGACAUCCCCAAAAGGAAAGCCUCAUAAGGAGUUUCACACAGACCAAAGAAAGAGUUUGAAAUUGCUGUUGUAACAGGCAUUUGCAAAGGAGCCAGUUUUGAUAGAAAAAGAGACUGAAAUCAGUAAGCAAGGACCCCGGGAGGCUCCAGGCUUCUCCCUCGGGAGGCGUCACAUGGGGGAGGAGCCCUCGAGUGUAGACAUAAAACCGUGGGGAAGAGCCACGCAGUCCCAGGCCUGGCUGUUCAACACCAGCAAAGAUGCAGACACACUGCCGGGUGUGCAAGUCCCUGAGAUCUAGCCCCGAGAGAACGGGCUUGUCUUUUUAUCAUUUGAGUGUUUUUACAAUUAUAAAGUCAAGCAUUUAAAUAUCCACCAGAACAAAGUACAAAUAAAAGCCUCCUUCCUCGGUUACUUUGGUCAGUGUGGGGUCUGAGGCGUCCACCCCACAUGGUCCCCAGACCUCCCGUCAGUCACCCCCUUGGUUUUCAGCUAGUAGGCCAAACGGCACUGACCACCUGGGCUCCCAGCCCCACCAGAUCCACCCAGCCCCACUGCCGGCCUCCUGUGGCUCCUCACGGGUCCUGUGUGAAGCCCCACGCUGUCCCCUGUGGGGACCUCGCCCAGGUGCCCUGCUGCUCUCUCCCUCCCUCUGCCCUGCCCUGGGUGAGGGACCCUCCCGUGAGGACGGUGGCUUCCCUCCCGCACCGCACCCUGCCUCUGGGUUGUGUCUCCCUGGGGCCCACGCGGGUCCCCUCCCGCCAGCACCCCAGCCGCGCGCGGUGUCCAGUGUGGGUGCUGAGUGAGCACCAACCAUGGAGCUGCCCCCCACGACAUCACCUGCCCGCCCCAGCCCUCAUCCCCACCAGCCCAUGGGAGGCCCCCGUCACUGACCCCCAUGGCAGCUCAGCCCUGGAAUCUGCACACCCUUGUAUCCAGUCCUGUUUCCCCAUGUGGCCACUAAUGCUUUCGCCACAGGGAGCUGCCUGGAGGCCACUGGGACCAGGAGCUGUGAUGCACAGAAAGAGCCCGAGGCUGCCAUCCCUGAGUCUGGAGCAGGUCACAGACACAGCCGGGUGCUUGGAGACACCGCGUGACCCUCGCUAUGCACGGGCUCACCGAGGUGUCUCCCCUCAGGGCACGGGCCUGGGGCUCCGGCUCUUUGCCCACCCCGACCUGUCAUGUGCCCACCUGCACGCCAUGCUUUGGGGACACUGCAGUCCUGUGGGCGCCUGCUCCUCUCUCCCCGCUCCCUAAAGUGCCCGUGGUGCUCCUCCAGGAGCCGCCAAGCAAGACCAGGCCCAAGCGCCCAAGAGACAGCACCUUCCACUCAGGGAAAGAGUGCCCUGGGGAGGACGCCCUGCAGUGACUCAGGACCCCAUCAAAAGUCCUUGCCCUUCCACUCUACACCUCAUGGUGCCAAGACGGCCGCUGCCAUGCAAGCCAGCAGCUUCAUAUUCCAGGAGGAAGAAAGGGGAGGUAGAAGAGCCAGUGAUAUCCCUUCCUUUUGUCAGGAGACAUAGACUUCCCAGAAACCUCCACCCUCACCCAGCAAACUACCACUUACAUCUCACUGGCCAGAUCCCUGUCACCAGCACCCACAGCCACAGGGAUGCAGUCAGUGAGGAAUCCACUACACCGCGUGGGAUGGCCGAGGCAGGGAGGAGCAGAUCAGUAACAGCGGGACAGUUAGCGGCUAUGGGAGCCUCUGCCAAACCUGUCAGUUAUUUUUUACCCUGACAACCGUUUCAUGGAGUUGGUGGCCAAAGCAGUACAUUCACCGUCACUUCAUAAAGACUUAAAAUCACUCCCCUGUCGCUUAGAAGUAACCACCGCUCUCCCCGUUUACUCUUCCAGCUCUUUGUAUUUUUUAACGUGGAUAGAACCACUCUAUGAGUUGCUCUAUAAUUUCAGUCUUUUCUGAUAUUGUAAAAAAAUAUAUAUUUCCAGAUCACUGAAUGUUCUGUGUAGAAUCACGACUCACGCCUGCGUGUUCUGCUCAAUGAGGUUCCACGGUUUGUUUGUUCAGUUGCUCUGUGCUCGGCUUUGGGUGUUUACAACAGCAGAAUCUGACAAAGCAGCGCUAGCGACUCUCCUCCUACCGAAGCCUUGCAGCUCACAGUAUCCCUCGGGAAUGUAUCGUAAGCAAAGCGCCGUGGGUGUGCACAUCCUUUAGAGCUUUUGAUCCCUGCCAGAUUGUCUUUCCAGAAGGGCCGUUCCAGUGAAUAGUCGAAUCGCUCAGCCUUCCUGUCACUGAACACAAUGCCCGACACCCACAACGUAAACAAGGAAAGGUUUCAUUUGGCUCUUGGUUUCAGAGGAUUCAGUCCAUGGUCACUGCCCCAACGUCAUGGCAGACAGGCAUGGUGGAAGAGAUCUGCUUAGUUCAUGGUGGCCAGCAAGCAGAGCAGGAAAAGGUGCCAGAGAGGAAGGGGCCAGGGACCAGGGGCCAGAUACAGUCCCCAAGGCCAUGCCUCCAUGACCCCUACCCAGAACAUGCUCUACUGAUGCCUGUGUGUCUCCCAAGCCAUCAAGUUGACAGGGUUCACUGUCUCAGCAAUGCUUUCAACAGACCUGUCCACUGGUGACCCAAUCUGUCCCCUCAUUUCCUAGUGAGCCUCACACAAGCCCCACAGUGUUUGGACCCAGACCUAAGCACCAAAGUCUGGCUCUUCUGGGCUCCUCAAGGCGAGGGCCAGGGCCAGAAGACUUGGGGACACUGAUCAGCGGGCCACGCAUCUGGGCAGUGCCCGGUCUCAUCCCAGACACACAUUUGCUUCGGAUGCAGAACCGUGUUGCCACAAGCUUUGUGACCAUGGGCUUCGCACUGAGGGUCAGUAAAAAGAGGAAACUGGGGUCAGAGCCAGUUGUUCUUGCCAGCCAGCAGGUCGGCGAGAGACUGAGUUGUGUCCCCACGGAGUGGUAUGUUGAAACUUGAAGUCCCAUGGUGACUGGGUUUGGAGAUGGGCCCUAGAGAGGUCAUCAAGGUUAAACUGCUGUGAGGGAGAGGCGUCCUCAUAAGAAGAGACCCCGAGGGGCCAGGGUCACUGAGGAAAGAGUGUGAGGACCCGGAGAGGGCCCUGGAGAAGCCAGACCUGCAGGCACCUUGAUCCUGAACUUUCAGACUCCAGAGCCGAGAAACACGCGCCCGCGCUUUCCUGCCCCCUCUGAGGUGCUGGUGAGGAGCCCUGCUGACUCGCCGUGCUCGACAGGUGGGGCCGCAGCUGCAGCUUCCUCUGAACCACGUAUCAGAUACCCAGAAGCCAGAGCCGAGCCCUCAGCCUGAGCCUUGGAUGUGUGUGUGGCAGGGAAGUUUCCCCUCGAGCUGGUCGCAUCCACCAUGACCCUCCUGGGCUCUGCGUCUGAGGCUCUUGCUGGGGCCGCGGGAGCCAGCACAGCCUGAGUUCAGGCACAGCUGCCUCGGCCGGAAGUGCCUGGGAGCCAGUGGCCCUGUGCAGAUCCAGUUGUCCCUGCCUUCUGCACAGCUCCUCAUUGGCUGCUCCUCCUCCCCUCUCACACCCCCCUGUCCCACCCCAAAUGCCUGAGUCCUGGAUGGCCUCCCAGAUAAACUUCAGGCCUCACAAUCUGCCGUGGAGGGGAACAGACUAAGGCACAUGAGAAAGCAAGCUGGGGUGCUUUCUUACUAUUCUGAUUCAGGGUUUUUAACUUUGUUUUAAUAGGUUUCAUUAUUUAGAGCAGUUUGGGGCUUCACAGCAAAACUGAGAGGAAGGUACAAAGAUCUCUCCACGCUCGCCCCUACUUGUUCAUAGCCUCCUCAUCUUGACAGACGUGUAGGUGACAUGCGUCUUCUGUUACAGCACCCUGCGGAAGUGUCUCUGCCCUCGUAUGCUGUGUUCCGCCCCGCCACACCUCCCUUACCCUAGCCCCUGGUGACCACCAAUCUUCACUGUCUUAGUCUUGCCUCUUCCUCAAGGUCACCUGGCUGCAGUGAUACAGUACAGAGCCUUUUCAGAUUGGCUGCAUUGACUUAGCAACGUGCAUCUACAGUUCCUCCACAUCUGUUCACGGUUUGUGGCUCCAGGUGACUUGGGGUCUGGUGAUGAUUUAUUAGAUUCAGCACCAGGGGCCUGGCCCACCGAAGAAGCUGUGGAUGAGCCGGACUUCAGUCUUUAGCUCUGUGAGGGACUGCCAGUGCCAAGCCGCAGACUGGGAGAAACUAUUUCCCAAAUACAUGUCUGAUAGAGAGAUCUGUUACCCAAAAUACACAGUGAACUCCUAAAGCCCAGCAGUAAAGAAAAAUUUUAAAUGCACGAAGGACUUCAACAGGUAACGUCACCAAAGUUGACAAAUAGGAAAAGAUGUUCCACAUCAUGUCAUCAGGGAAAUGCAGAUUAAAACAACGAGGUGGCACUGCUCACAUGUUAGGAUCACAGGGGCUGGCGAGGAAGCGAAUCCACGGAAACUGCUUCCAUCCCUGGCUGGGGCUGCAGAACGGUGCAGCCACCUAGGGGCACAAUUUCUUCCACAACUCUGAACAUCACAGUCUGGGGUCCAGCUUCGUGCUCACCAGCAUUACACCUUCAGGAGUGGGGACCCGCCACACAGCUCUGCACCGAAUUUGCUGCAGCCUUAUUCCUCAUUGCUACGUCCUGGAGGAACUGAGAUGCCCUUCACGACGUGAGUGGAGGGAGCACCAUGGGCCUCCAGACUCAGCACUAGCAAGUGUGGACCUGUGCACACACACAUAUGCUCCGGGGCACUGAGCAGCCUCCUAGCCGCAGAGCCCAGAUGCUGGUCACGGGGAAGAUGGCAGAGCUGAAGCCAUGGCCCCUGCCUGGACUGGAGAACUGGAGCUGAGCAGCCCUGGCUUCAAAUCCCAGCUCUCAGCCUCUCCAGCAGGGCGGUCUUGGGGGGCAUAUGACCCACCGGGUCCUCACUGGAGCAAUGUGGAAGUGGAAACAGCCCAGCCAUGGAUGUGCUGAGCAGAAGGCACACGAAUGUCCCUAGGAGCAAGGAUACGGGGAGCCCACAGUCUCCGGCAGCAGCACCUCCAGAGCUGCUCCAGGCAGCCCCCAGCCAAGGACUGAGGCCAACGGGGUCCCAGAGCCAGGCCACUCCCGUUGCACAGCCUUCCCUGGGGGACACCCCGCAGGCUGGCUGGGGUCAUCAGAUCUGCACUGCAGCUGAGCUCUCCCUGCCCGGCCACCGCCUGCCUUCCUGUGCCCUACAGGCCCGCCUUGGCACCAGGCUUCUCUCCCCAGGUCCUCGGGGUGGCCCAGGCUGUUCCACUGUGACCAACAGAAACAGAGCCUGGCUACUGAAUACAAAUUCAUCCAAGUGCUACUCGAGGGACACUAAGAGAAGUUACCGAGAAGCCAAAGCAUGGGCUCUGAAAAGAUGGGAGUCCAGCCGUUCCCAGUCUCCUGGAACGCGUGAGCUCUUCUUUUUCACGACAUCACUGUUGACACCAGCAAGCUGCAGUCACCCUGAGGUGCUUGUAACAUCCUCCUCGGGGGUCGGAUUCCUAGGAGAAGUGUCCAGUUGGCCUCAAGGUGGUGGGGCAUUCUGGAAAGUCACGGUCUUCCCCAGGUGGACACUUGGACUGUGUCCAAGCAAGAUGGUGGUGCCUGUCAUCGGAAGGCAAGAAGACCCGCCAGGUGGCUGGCUCGACCACAGAAUUCCACAGACCAUAAUGGGAGAAGGGAAAUGCACCCUACCUAGGUUCCUGCCAGGAGCCCAAGGCGAUGUAUCGCUGUAUGAUCAGCUCGACGUGACCAUAGCCAUCUUGAGGUUUCCCCAAAGUCAGCCUAGCUGGGUGACCAGCAGACUACAACCAGACAAAACGAGCGGGAUACGGAGCUUUACAAGAGACGUUGGUGUCCGCACUGUGCCUGGCUCUGACACUGACUGACGAGAAACCAGGUCCUUUCUGGGAGGGACGAAAUCUCUUUGUCCUGAUCCAUGAUGAGUGCCCUCCUCCGUCUGACCCAAAUCAUGGGAUCCAACUGGUCUCACUGCCACCUGCCACCCAGGACCACACUUCUGUCAGCGCUGCCCCCAGUAAACUGCGCCCAGUGCGGUCCUAGGUCUGCCUGCCUGUCUUUGCUCUCAUGGCACCCAGGGCUGGUUAUAGAGCAGGAGUGGGUUGUUCUAGAGCAAUCUGCAGUGCAUUUCCACCUGGUCACUCCUGCCUGGACCACCAUCCACUCUCCCCCUGAGAAUCUGAGUUUCUUGGGCUCAGGAUCAUUAUGCCCCAUCUCAGUUUGUAUCCCCCAGACAUUGUUGUCAAUAAGGAGUGGAGAAGACGUACUCAACUUUCAACACUUUCAGACACCCUUGUUUGGAAUAUAAUCAGCUGCUUCUCUUUCCUCUUAAAGUGCACUGGGAGGCUGAGGCAGGAGGAUUGCAAGUUCAAGGCCAGCCUGGGCAACUUAGUAUCUGCUCAAGACCCUGUUUCAAAACAAAUAAAAAGGGUUGGGGAUGUAGCUCAGCGUGAAGGCUUCAAGUUCAAUACAGAGAGAGUCAGAGAGACCCCCUCAGCUGCCCGGUGCUUCCUUUCCAAGAUGGAGCACCCUCGGCCCUGAGUGUACCCUUCUCAUCAUGAACCCCUUGGAGAUCCUGGGUUUACUGGGACCUUCAAGGCUAUGUCAAAUUCCGAUGGCUCUUCAGAUUGAAGUUCCUCAUCCCACAGAAAGGGACUCCUGAUGGCUGGGGGCUUCACUAACUUGUGGAAGGCAGAGACCCCUGUCCUGGGGAGCCAUUGCAGGGGACAGGGCACCCCGGCCUCACCCUCUGGGGAGUCUUCACCUUUAAAGGCUAAAGGCUGCUCUCUGCCCAUGCUUGACCCUCUACAUGGCGCUUUCUGUGGGCUCCGCUUGUUUCUGCUUCAGUUGCCCCAGGGUCAAGCCGGAAGUAGAGUCAAGGCCCUCACAGGGCCCUCAUCUGAUGACAGACAGGGAGCUGCCAGGGAACUGCACCAGCUCCCUGGGCCCCUGGGGGGGGCCUCUCCCCUCCCUCCUUGGCCGCCCCAAAUCCCUCAGCAGAACCGGGAUCCCCUGACCCGCAUUAGUCACUUGAAAGUGACCGUCACCCUCAGCCUGCCCCCACCUCGCUCUGCCGGUGUCUCCUCGUCACCGCGUCUCCCUCUGUUCCCCCAGAAGCACAAGGCUGACCAAAGGGUACGAGGGUUUCAAUAAGAAAUUAUUACAACAGGAGACACUUCGCAUGAGUCCUCCCCUCAGUUGGAACACCCUCAUCCCAUUCUUCUUGGCACUUUCUGGAGUAGCUCUGGAAGUCCUUUUGUGUGAGUGUCUUUACCAGGUGUGAUCAAAAAUACAGUGAAUGUGGCUGCCGAGCACCGUCCAACAGAAAGGCAGCUCGUAAAACACGACACUGUCUCCUCAUCCACCUAUUCACCUAUUCACCGGAUCUGGCACCGUGUGACUUCCGGCUCCUCCCUAAGUCAGUGAGCAUGAAAGGGAAAUGCUUUGAAUCCAUUCAGGACAUGGAGGGAGAUAUGGCAGCACCAGAGACAUUGAGGAAGGAGGACUCUGGAGCUGAUGCGGAAAGUGGCGAGGACAGUGGGAUGAGUGUGUGUGAAGUGAGGGCAAGGAUUCUGAGGGAGGUUCAUGGCAGUGUGUCUUUUAACUGUAGUAAUUAUUUUAAGUUUAAACAUUCACCGUACGUUUUGAUGACACCUUGAAGUCAAAGCCCCUCUUUUUUCAGUUCAUUUCUGCCCAGAAAGACUUGGAGAGCUGGGGUGUCCUCGCUGUAGGCAGGACGUGCAGCCGAAGUUCUAGACAGAGCCCCCUGGUCAGCGGGAGUACCUGCCUGGGAGGACCCCCAGCUCCCGUGACCUGACCCGCAGCCGGGCCCUGUGUCCAGCAGCAGGCCUUCCCUGGGCCGCAGGGUGCUGGAGGAGGCUGCGGUGGAAAGAGGCAGAUGCCAACAGCCUUUUGCUGCCUGUCUGCACAUUUCUCACUGACAGGCUACCGGGGGUGUAGCACUAUUUUUAUUUAAAAUGCCAGUUACCAUAGGAACAGCCACAUGACCCAAUACUUAGAUUCUAAGUCACACAGAAAAUACCCUUGGGAAAGGAGAGCGAGCAGCCAGUGCGUGCCGUGCCGGGAGGAAGAAGGCUCCCCCCACCUCCCAGCCUGCCCAGGCCUCCUGCCUCCCUGGCACCAGCCAGGGCCAGCGAUGGGGACAACUGCACUCCACCCAUGGCCCUGUGAGCUGCAGCUCUUCCCAGAGCCAGGUGCCCUCUCGGGUGGCCCCAGCUGCAGGUCAGGGGCCCCACACAGCUGGGGACAAGGUGCCGAGACCCCUCCCACAGCCCCACCCAGUGAUGGCCUCCCGGCCGGCAGGCCAGGUCCCAGCUCCAGCACGACAGUGGUUUCCUCCUCCUCCUUUAGCAAAGCCCAGGGCUGGCGAUGCCAGCAGGGAUGCAGAGGACCCUGCACCCCUCUGAGGCCCGGGAGGCUUUGAGCAGUGGGUGCCGUAGCCCCACAGCGCUGCGGCUGGGUCACCAGCUCCUAUGACAUCAUCAGGCUUUUCGUGAGAAUUGUGUAUGAUUAUAAGUCCCCUGAUCCCUGAGCACCCGGUGGUCAGUAAUUGCUAAUGUUAUUGUGGGAUAUGAUGGGCAGUGAACAUUGUAUGAGUCUGUUUUUCAUUAUUGUAGCAAAAUACAUAAGGCAGGCUGACUUUAUAAGUUUUCUACCCUCUAGGUAUCUUCCUGAAAGAGUUAAAGACAUCAUGUUACAGUGAUCCAUAAUACUCAUUAUAGCAACACAGUUCAUAAUAGGUAAAUCUUGGAAGUGGCUUCUAUGUUCAUCAACAGAUGAGUGGAUAAAGAAAACAUGUUUACACGCAAUGGAGUACUACUCUGCCAUAAAGAAGCGUAGACUUGAGUCAUUUGUAGGAAAAUGGAUGCACCUUGAGACCCUAAUGCUAAGUGAAGUAAAUCAGAUACACAAGCUUAAAUGAUGUAAGGUUUCUCUUACACGAGAAACCCAAAAUACAGCGGCACCUCGGUUCAUGGACACUUUCUUUGGCAGUUUGGUUCAUAAACAGACGCGUUUGGCGAAAUUGUGUUUUUGUUUCCAAACUCUGCAUCAGAUGACAAACACAACCCUGGCCCUCUUUCCCACACAAACACAAAUGUGGCCGCCUUUUCCAAAAUCGUAGAAUGAAUUAAGUUUGUGAACUGAGGUGCCAGUGUGUAAAAGAGCAAAGUAAAAUGUAGAUGAUCGGAAAUAGGGAGAUCUUUUUCAAAUGAGAAGGGGAAGGGAUGGAGCGAGGGGGAAGAGAAGGGGUAGGGAACAAGAAUUGAAGGAGGAGAGUGGAAAGGGCACUUUUGCAAAAGGAAAGGGGGCCAAGACUUGGACGGAGCUGGGAGGGAGGGAGGGGAGAGGUGGGAAAGGACAUAGUGUGUGGAGCAUCCGUGUGCCGACUCCCCACGAUGGAUGUGAUUGUUCUGCACUCACACAUGGAGCAAGAGAAAAUGAAGAGGCUUCCUAGCUCGCAAUUGUGGAAGCUGAAAACCUGGGUGUGGAUGGCGUCUCCGGGGAGGCCCCAGGCAGAUGCAGGCCGUCACGGCCACUGCAGGGGAUGGGUAAGAAGCCAGAUCCCCGAGCCGGAAGCUGGCAGGGCCUGGCACUCCAGCCCUCCCAAGGCCGCCCUCGAGGCCCCGGCACCUCACACCGCUGCAUGGGCACCAAGGCUCCAGUACUGACCUCCAGGGGACAAAGGACAGCUCAGCCGCCCUUGGAGCGCAGCAACAGGCUCCUGCCACCGACCAUUCAGUCAUCAGUCACGAGGAUUGCAUAACUUGGACCAAACCCUUAGCUGUGUGCAGGGCUGACAUGUCCGAGCCUGACCAGGUCCUCGCAGGGCCCAUUUUCACACCCAGCCACCUGCCUUAGAAGCUGGGAUGCCGUGAGCUGGGUCUCGAACCCAGACCGCUCUGUUGCUGAAUCUCCACUUUUAGCCAACAUGCUAGGAAAGUGAGUCCUGGGACAGCCUCACCCAAGAAGAUAGUGACAGAGCAGGCGGAGGUGUUUGUGGGGGCGGGCAGGGCGGGCACAGGCCGGCAGUGGGGGGGAGGCUGCUCUGUCUCCGAUCGUCUGCCUCAGUGACACCUCUUCACCCCAGGCCUGCUUGACCCCAGCAGGCCGUGGACACGUGCUGAGGUGUCAGGAGGUCCCCGGCUGCAGCAGGGCCCGUCAGAGUUGCAUGUAGGGAACAGGGGAAGGGGACGUUACCAGAACCUCUGCAGUGAGUCCUGGUCUCCUGCGAGCCACAGCAGCACACGGCGAAUUAUUAGACAGGAAAGGGAGACAAAUGAGACUUAGAGAAGCUGAGCUUUGGGUCUGAUCAGUGCUGCUCUGGGCAACAAAGACAAAAGCUCUGAGCUUGCCACACCUUUAUUGGGUACAUCGGAGCAACAGAUGCGACAGGUGAGGAUUUUGUUCCUCCCAGGAUGCCUCCAGCUGGUGUGGUCCUGCCCUGGAGCAUCACAGCAUCACGGGACCAUUGAGGUUUUAGCUGCAACCGGAGGCAAAAAUGGAGUGAGGUCUCGACAUGCCUGUAGGCAGGGAAACGAGCCUAAUCAUAAUUUCAAUUGUGAAAUGAUUUUUCCCCAAAAUUACGUAGAACUACUCCCGACAGUCGCAGGCUGCUCUUCCUUGCGAUGGUGGCUGUCGGCAUCACUUGGAGAUGGAGGUGAAGGGUCCUCAGACCCGGGCUCACUGCCUCCUGUCAGAGCCUGCUCUGACAGGAAGACACCAAGCAGUGUCAGCAGCAGGGCUGGGACAUUGGGAGCCUCUUAACCUCCACCACACUCUAGGACCCCCUCCCGGCGGAGUGAUGCCUGCUGGAGCCCAUACCUCAGAGCCCUCCACAGCCGCUGGCCUCCUCAGCAGAUGGCCUGGGGACAGCUUCGGUAAGUCUGUGGCUUCCUGCCCGAAGCUGUCUUUGGGCCACCACAGUGAGCUCAACUGCACACAUCGGGCCAGAGAGCCACUGUCCCCAAAGCAGCUGUCAGCUGUGGGGUGGGAGCUGGGGAAAGGCCUGCACCUGGCCAUGACCUGCACACAAGUUGGCUCCUCCCGGUCUGCACCUCGCUGGGCUCCCUGGAGCAGUUGCCAAAUGAAAAAGCUGAGCGCUUGACUCUGUGUCCUUCGGAGAGAACCCAGCCCUCGCACUGCCUCAAGAGGCAUGGGGAAGGCUGUAGAGGAUCCACGUCAAGCUCUCAUCAGGAGCAACGUGGACCGCACUUCUCCAGUGUCUUAUGCUCUGGGGACAGGGGCGCAGCCGUGGGCUCUGUCAUUAGCAUCUGGCAUUCCAGAAGACGUCUAACUGGGGAUUAAAUCUGGCUCCUCUGCAGUGCUUGAUGUUCACAUGGAUCACUGACCAGAAGGGAUGCAGUUGUCUAGUAAACUCCCCACAAGUCAGAGCAGGGCUUGCGUGGAGCAGGUCAGAGCUCAGCCACAGUUACAGUCAGCACCCUCUUCCCUCACGGGACUCGCUCGGGCCCUUCCUGCUGCCAUGUGGGGACCCCUGUGACCCCAAAUCUAACCCCACCCACCUACUUAAAAGGAAAAAAGGGACAAGAAAAAAAAGAGAAAAGGGAAAAAAUGGAAACAAUGCUUUUGUAUAUAAGGGACCGGGACAUGGGGGAAAGUAACAUAUAUCUUUUUUGGUACCAGGGAUCGAACUCCAGACCUUGUGUUUGCAAGGAAAGUAAUGUAUAUCAUGAACAGGUACAAAUUGCCUAUGGUGAGUGUAGCAUUAUGGAUAAUUAAAGUGUGCCAAUAAAUGUUUUGCUAAAAAAAGGAAACGGCCAUAAACAAAUUCAUCCUGAAGUGUGACGCUGCCUUCCCCUGGGAGAGGGCGCUCUGGUGUGAAGGCCGAGCCCCGCCUCCACUGCCUCCAGGCAGUGGGAACCAGGCCGUUCUCACCCCUCACACCUCCACGGUGCUUACAGAGUCUUUUCAACGCCCUGAUCCCAGUGAAGCUUUCACAUGGCCUUUUGAAUUCUACUCCACAAUGUACCCCUACUUUAGAAAAAAAUAGGACUGGGGGUCACAAACCUGCAACAUGUUGAAUACGAGUCCCAUUGCCCAGCCUCCAGUGUGAAACGCCUUGAUUUUGUUUAAUCUGUUAGCUUUUGCCUCCACUAAUUCUACAGGGCUGCUUUGUGUGUUUUCAGAAAAGAAAAAAAAGAAACCAGAGCCGUGCAAUAGGAUAUUUGAGUCCGAAAAUUACAGAGAGCCCUCUCUCUGCCAACCUCGAGCCCCCUUUCCUGUGUGGAGCAAAGAUCCUCAGACUUCGGUGGCGAUGGGAGUCGUGGGGAACAGAGGUUUCUUUCAGUGCAGUUCCCAAGUCCUCUCAGGGAAGCUGCUGUCGCUGGUGGGAGUCAGAUCUGAGAUUCCCUGACAAGGUGGCUGCUGGCCAUUGCAAAGAAGGUCACCUGUAGAUUCUCACUUGGUUCCUUUCAAUUAGCAUUUCUCAGAGACAGGUAUCCCUUGAACCCGCCUCGUCCUCCCCUGCCCUGGCCCACGGGGCUCCCAGAGGAUCAGAGAACUCUGCUUCUUGCCAGUCAGAGGUGAACACGCAGUUUGAAAAUCGAAUGCUUCAGAAAGAAUUGUGUACCUUAAGGGUCACAAGCCCACAAAUGAGCUAGUUCGUUCAUGUCUGUCCUAUUGCAUGAAUUUGAUUUUUGAAAUCCAUGAUUAUUUAUAGAAAUUCCAGGAGUGUGUGCUCACCCCAAUGCACCCCCUUGAAAGAGAAAUGAAUCGCAUCGACAGGGUCAGGAAAUAUGCAGGCUGUGCCUUGGGAGUGCAUGACAGGAACCUGGCAGGUGCAUGCUCCACACACUGCAGUCCUUGGGGUCUGCUGACAUCAGAGAAACACCUCUGCCCCUGCCUGCUAUUUCUGCUGAGAAAUACCCACCAGUGCCCUCCCCAGGCUCUUUGUUGCCAGUCAUCUCCAUUUGGAUCAGAUGCAGAAAAGUAGAAAAUAUCAGCAUGAAAAUAGCUAGUGAUAAAAAUUUAUUUUCUAAAGGAUUUCUAGGCAGACAUGCGAUGCAGUGAUGGCUUCCAGCAUGACUUGGCCCCAGCACACCACCAGAGGGGUCAUUUGUCGACCCCAGUGGGUGACUAGACUAAAGCACCCCCUUCACCGGGUCAAAGGAGAGACUUGGAGGGAUGGGAACCUCGGGGUCUGGACACAGAUUCCAGAUUAGUGUUGCAGACUAAAUGGUUAGGAAGAGAGGAGGCAGGACCUAGGGUCCCCUAGUUCCAGUCGAAGAAGAAAGCCCCAGUGUGUCCCCCCCCCCCCCCCAGUGUGGAGCCACACCCCCCACACAGACGCGAGCACACCCCUCACUAAGCCUGCUCGGCCCGCAGAGGGUCGUCCUUACAAUUGGAAGACUCGGCCACCUCUCCACUGCUUCCCGGGAGAUGGUGUCCAAAGGUUCCACACCAGUGUGUUUCUGACCGGCUGCCUCCGCCCUCGAUUUCCCAAAGCCCCAUGAUUCCUUCUCUUCCUCACUCUCCAGGGUCCUGGCUCCACUGGAAGAGGCAGCAUGGAGCUGCUGGAGGAGGUUCUGGGUCUAAAUAUUCCAAACACUUCCCCUUUGGGUUUCAGUCCCUCAGAGCAGAGCCUGGACAAGUUACAACUCAGUCUGUUCUCUGCAAGGACAGAUCUUGUGAAAGGGAUUUGGGUGCAGGAUAUUUUGACUGGAAAGUGAUCCAGAAAGCAUUAUUGGGGGAGCAAGGUGGCGAGUUACCUCUGGGGCUUCUGGAGCUGAAUAUACUCCACGAGGACACUCAGGAACAAUGUAGGAAAAGCACCUCAAAGAACCAGGGUGUUCCUUAGCUGAGGGUCACACCCAGAGGCAGUUCGUCCUCAGAGCCUGGGCAUCAGAAAAAAUUCUUCUUCUCCCAGAACAACUUUCAGGCAAUGAAAUGCAGGUGCCAGCAGCUGGGAAGCUGGUGGCAGGGGUGUAGGGACAAGAUGGGGCCAGGCACCAGCACCAAGAACUUCAAAAUCCUCUGGCUCUUUACUGUCUUGUCAAAGACAACUUUCUGUGAGUAGUGACACAGAAGGAAGGAAGGACAGACAGGAUGGAAGGACAGAUGAAGGGAAGAAAAUCUAUUGUCACUAUACUUCUAAUGUUGCAGUUCUUACAAUGAAGGAAGGGGAAGACUGGUCCUCAGGGAAAGACUUGUAUGAAGGCAUUGCAGUGUGAUUUCACACGGGGCUGGAGUGGAAGGCUUUUUAAUAGACACAUAGACAAAGAAAGUUCGGGAAAUCUCACUGUUUCUGUACACAGAGCAGCGACCACCAAGCUGGUGUGAGACGGAGAGAAAGACCCCAGGACAGGUGGCGAUCAUCAUGAGGAGCAGCUUGGACUCCAGAGGCUGGGCCAUGCCGUUGGCGUGAGCAGGCCUAAGAGGCCAGACUCUGCCUAACCAGACCUGGCCUCAGUCAGUAAAUCUCUUCAUCCUCUUAUCCUGCUUUAACAUCUGCUCCUGGAGAACCUGAACUGAGGCAGCACCAGAGGGACCCGAGUUGUCUUGGAACUGUCCGAGGCUGUGGUGCUGAAAUCAGAAAUGGGCCAGGGAGAGGGUGAUGCAGAAACAAAAUAUAUCCGUGUUCAUCCUCAUUGACUGGCAACCAUGAAAUCAUCCGGCUACUCCCUCAGUUCUCCCUAGCCAGGGGACGUGCCUGAUGUUUUCAAAUGGGGAAUGAGGGCACUGCUGUGACCCUAACCCUCAUCCUUCGCAGCUCUGGAGCAGGCUGGCUUCUACCUCUACUUUCCAGCCUCUUGCAGGGCCCAGCAGAGACCCAGUUGGAAAGGCUGACUGGGAUUGCAGCUCCAGGCAUUAAGCCUGCAGUGCACACUGCAAAGCUCAGCAGUGGGGAAUGAGAAUGACUCCAGGAUCGACAGACAAUUCCUGGGACGAGAGCAAUGUGCUCUUUAGGGUCAUCAGAGGGCGUUCUCUCAUCUGGGGCCAGGUGUCUUUGUCCUGCCGAGAUAGUGUUGUAGAGGGGAGAGGGUUGGGUCUUCCCAACAAGGCUUCAUGCCACCCCAUCAGGGACCAGCUCUAUGACCAGCCAAAUGGCAUCCCUGAGCCUCAGCAGCUUUGCCUGUAACAGAGAUGGGACUAGACCAGAGGUUUUCAAACAGUGCUCCAAGGAACCCCAGGAAGCCCCAGCCCCCUUAUGGGCCACUAAGCAGUUUGGGUGGAGAUAUGGGCCAAGGCCAGUUCAGUUAGAGUAAACCCACUCUUAUCUGGUUCCUACUUUCAUGUUUUCUCUAGAGCAGUGAUGGCAAAGCUUUUGGAGCUUUUAAUGCUACAAACAGCCCGCUGCAGCACACAUGCCAUAGGUUUGCCACCACUGCCCGAGAGGCUUAAAAAGAAAUGUUACAAAGCUGAGGCCCAGCUGAUCUUUAAGGUCCCUUCUCCCUUCUUUUUCAUAAGUCUGUGAGACUUCAGUCAAAAGCUGGGUCUUGCUACACAGAAAUGCGUGGCCUUGGGAAGCCAGCUAAUGUCUCUGACUCAUUCCUCUUGUCUGUAAAUGAACGAGACCUGUGAACACUUGUGAUGUGUCAGGUGAUGCACACGCAUGCCUAUUCCACACGCAUGCCUCUGUGAGGGCACCCUCAGCCUCCCCAGCCAGCCACUGAGGCUCAGGAAGGCCAAGUGCCAAACCCGUUACCCAGCCAGCCAGCGGCUCUGUGUCUGCCUCCACCAGGCUCCCACGUCUGUGUUCUUCCAACUGUGCUGCCUGCCCACUUAGAAUGGCAGGAUGAGUAGGUGAGACUAUUAAUCCAAAGGUGUUUUACCCAAAUUCCAAUCAUAGCCAGGCGUGGUGGCCCAUGCUUACAAUCCCAGCACUUGGGGGCUGAGGUAGGAAGAUCCCAGGUUCAAGACCAGCCUAAACUACUUAGUAAGACCUUGUCUUGAUGAAAAAAUAAAAUUGUGAUGUAAACAUUCAUUAUUAUUGUUGUCAGAGUCAGAAUUAGUUUAACUCAAAUGGACCUAACUCCCUACCAAGGGCUCCAUAGUGUAAUAUGAUGAAAUGUCACCAUCCUUCAUCAUUUCUUCUGGACCCAGCUCACAGGCAUUCGUCAUGCCCGGAGCCCUGCCGCCUGUUUCUCUGGGGGUCUUCAUCACCAUCCUUGCUCAGGGAUCACCGUGUUUCUGCACCCUGGCCCCUGCUGCCCCAUGCUGGGGCUGGCUGCUGAGGACACACAGACCCCCGUCUGAGUCCUCCACUGCACUGGACAUGUGAAGCCUCCGCAUCCCCAUGAGCACCCUUGGCAUGGGGACCAUCAAGGCUGCAGGGAGAGACCUCCAGCCAAUGGGAGACAGGAGAUUGGGGGCAGCCCCAGAUCCACCCGAGCCACUCUUGCUCCCACCAUAGACUUCAAGAUGCAGCCUUUCCCCAUGAACUGCUUAUGUAGUUACCAAUCUAGUUCCUUAGUAUUUAUUUCAUAUUACUAUUUACUUGAUAUUCGUUUAAAUAUUCUGGUAUAUUUACCAGCCUUUUCCCAUACAGCUGCACUUGUAUAUCCUUCAUCGUAAGCUCUGUAGCUUUCUCCAGGUUAUUAUGCACUCAGGACAAAAUAGAUUCAAGUUACUGCCAUUGCUUUUAGUGCUCUCCUCCUUGAGAUGCUCCGAUUGCCCCGUGUGGCGGUGGGGGUCCCUUUAAGCUGACUUCCUUGUCCUCGAAGAUGUUUUCCACAACAGGACGGAUGUUCCAGGCCGGGUGACUUUUCCUUCACCACAUACACACAAGCUCUCUCCAGGGAGCUGGCCUCCUCCAUUGGAGCCCAGAAAGCUCAGCUGACACAGACGCCAGGUUGUCCAGGCCAACGCUGGCAGGAGACGGAGCGGCAUUGUGCUGAUCACGUUAGGGCUAUUGUUGGAGAAACACAUAUAGCCAGCAUCACGAAUUUUGGGUUAAUAUUUCUAACUUAACUCUAACGUGACUAAAUUAUUUUAGCUUUUCAGUAUUUAAAUCCAUUUCUCUACAGCAUCCCUGCCUUUUUUUUAAUGUUUCACCAAAACUAUAAUUGAACAACUUUGUCUGUUUUGUCUCUUCCUUCUAUAAUUCUUACAUGAUAUUGACCACAAGUCCAGAGGCGUUUUAACCUGAAAAGAUAAACCCAGAAAUAGAGGACAUAAGAAGGCAACUCACAAAGGAGAAAUACAGAGGGUAGAUGAGAUGAAAAACUGUCAGAUUUAUUAAUGAAAUCUAUGUAAACCAAAACAAUAUUUUCAUAGAUAAUGAUGUUAUCAGACUUGAAAAGAAAAAAAUAAUAUCCCAAGAGUGAUGUUAUUUGGCACCUGUGAUUUUCUGUGGGUUUCUGCUGCAUUCUGUCUUAUGAAUGCACAUUUUCUACAUUCUCACAGGGUUUGUUCUUUGGCUUUCAAACAGCUUCACAUUUCAAACAGCUUUUAUGGCCAUAUAGACAUCUGAGCAUCCAUUUCUACUGCUGUUGCCCCACUUUUAAAUGCUUUUCUUAAUUCAGAGUUCCCAAGCAGCAGAUCUAAUUAAUCACAUCCUAUUUACAUGCAGGAAUGAGGCUGGCAUAUGGAUUGGCUGGCUCCACUGCCUCUGAUCCAAUCAGGUUUAGCCAUGUGCUCCAGUGGCACAAAACAUGACUGCGCACAGGCAGACCCUGUAUCGCCCCGCCUACCCCACACAUUCUGGGAAGUGAGUUACAUUCUUGCUUAUCAUUCCCAGUUUUAUAAUUAGGACCAUAUUACCAUAUGUGCCUGAUCAAAAGACACCAUGAAGGAUCCAAUCGAGAAAUGAGCUCAUGUUUGAGACAUUUUCUGUUCACAGUUUAAUACAUGUCCAGUGAUAGAAUAAUUAUUUAGCUUUUUCACCUCCCAAAUAUGCCCCUUCUUCUUGUCUCCAGACCACCCACUGAGUGUCACUCAUAGGGUACGAGUGUCACACAGUGGCUAAGGACAGGUUUGGCUCUGGAACCAGACAGCUAAGGUUUGAUUCCACUCCUCCAUUUAUAAACCAUAUAGCCUCAGUAAAUUACUUGUCCUCUUGCUUACAUACAAGGAUGGAAUGAGAUCGGGCAGCUGUAGUGUAAGAAGUCCUCCACACAAGGCUGGCUUUACCUCUGAUACCAGUCACCACCCCAGAGCACUCCCAGGUUCCAUCAUGUUCUGGAAGAACCCAAGAACUUAUGAGAGUUAUUUCCUUCACAGUUCAUUACAGGGAAAAGAUACAGGUUAAAUUAGAAAAGGAAGAGACACACACACACGGCAGAGUCUGGGAGAGGUGCAAAUACAGAGUUUCAUUGCCCCCUUCCCAGGGAAUCCUGGACCAGGUUACCUCUUCCCAGCUACAAUGUAUGUCACUGUACACUGACAACUGACAACCAUGGACAGUCCCCUGAGCACUUGAUAUCCAAAGUGUUUACUGGGGCUUGAUUGCAUAUUGCUCAGGUGGCUGGUCUUUAGUCCCUAGCUUUUCCCAAAGGCCAGGCAAAUACCAUUAGUCAUCCAUUCCUUCAAAAUUCAGAACUGAGAGUGUAUGCUCCAAACCCCCCCUCAUAAAUCACAUUAGGCUGUCUAGUGGCGGAAAUCCCUGAACAUUCCAAUCAGGCAUGAAAUCUAGGCAGGACCUAGAAAUCACCUCCCUAUAGCUGAGGGCAAAGGCCUCUCAUUUUUAGACCAACUUUAUCCUUCAGCACACAGGGAAUAAAAAGUUCUUGUUUGCAGGGGAGGGGUCAUUAAAAGGAAGAAUAGCAAAUGUCUGUCCUCCCUUGUUUGCAACUCCCAAAUACCAAAUGCUAUGAAAAUUGAAAGUUUUCUCAUAAAUCAUUUAGUGGAAAAACAUAUAAGACUUUAUUUUUUUAUUCCAAUAAGUGGAAGUUUCAAAUAUUUUCUUGAAGAAAUAUUUUUGUGCAUGAUUUCAGGGUGUUGUGGUGAUGUAAAAUGUCCCCCAGAAGUCCCUUGUUUGGAGGUGGGCCCUGGUGGGAAGGGGUGUGUCACUGGAGGUGUGGCUUGGAAGGGUGCAUUCUUGUCCCUGGCUCCUCUCGUCUCCUUCUGCUUCCUGGAUCCCAUGUGGUAAGCAGCCGUCCUCUUCCACAUCCUUCCCCAUUGCUAUUCCUCCAUUGGAGCCAGCCUACCAUGGACCGAACCCUUAGAAACUGUGAGCCAAAAUAAACCUGUUCUCCUUUAAAUUGAGCAUGUCAGGUAUGCUGUCCCAGUGGCCGGAAAGUUGAUACGUAGAGAUUGUGCUACAAGCUGCCCCAACCCCAGGGAAGGGGAUCACCCUAGCAUCGCCUAUCUAAAAUCCAGAAAUAGAGAUUCAAGAUGGCAGAACAGAAAUGCCCAGUGAUCACCUCCUUGUCUAUAAGGAGGAACCAGAGAGGCAGGCAUAUGGUUGUGUUUUGAGCUGAGUGACCAUGGGAGAACACCAGAGGUCAGCAGGAAAGGGGCCAGAAUAUUGUAAGGUUCAGGGAGUUGGGACAACAGCAUGGUAAGAAAAACAGAAUAAACUGCUUUAUACUCCACAGCCAGGGGAGCGGAGUCUCCCACUGCAGCGGGAACAGAUGAGAGGCAGAGGCUAUUGGCGCAGAUGCUGCAACCCCAGUUGCUGGGCAGCUUCAGACUCCCACACUGCAGCCCUCUUGGACAAGCAGCCUGGAAUCUGCACAGCAGCUGCUUUGGGAAAGGACCAUGUCUUCUGGGAACACCUAGGGGGCUGUGGCCAGGAGCCAUCUGGAGAAGGAGCUAUUGCCUGAGCGUGUGUAGGCCCAUGGGUCACAAACCCCUGCACGUUCCCAUCUCUAACCCAACCGACUUUCCACUGCACACCUCACGAGCCCAGAGUGACUGUGACCUAGGCCCAAUGGUGUGCAGCGUGGAGGGGGCAGAGGCUGCCCUCUGAGAGCCAACAGAUUGGGUGUCUUCCCUCUAAGACCAAAGGCAUGGCCUGCUAUUCAUAGAUUUGCUCUGGUGCCAGCACCGAAGGCAGGUGCCUGGGCAGUUCCUCCUCUCUUCCCCGUGCCAUGCUAAGGUGCCCCUUCCUGCUAUGGUGGGGAGGGAACAUUGGAUUCCACUGCUGCCACAGGGUGAGUCGAGGUGGCCUUGAGCAAUCGCCAUGUCCCCUGGCUGUGUGUGGCUGGAGGGUGCUGAGCGCAACUGUGCCCAGUUCCCACCAGCUCCUGCUCCUGGCUGGCACCUACACCAGCAAAGUAGAGAGCAGCACACUUUGGCUGCCCCACCUAUGGGAUUCCUGCCUCCUCAUCUCUGCACCUGGGCUAAGCAUGCAAGGAAUGGAGGUGAGCGCCACAGAGGAGGUGCGGCUCUCACUGUGUAGGAUCUGGGUCUCAUCACCGACCAGGAAGAAAUGCCAUAGGCCCCAGCUAGUAGUGGAGCUAACAACACAUUGCCCAAGGAAGCCCACUGCUUACCAGGGAUUCCACUCCCCACUGUGGGCGCGGCCACAUGGCCAGCACCCUGCACCCACUGCUGUCCACACCAUGCCUGCCUGAACUGCUGCUACCCCCACUCCUGUGCGGCCUGCAAGGCAGUGGUUCUCUCCAACUCUGCCACAACCAUUAACCCCAAAGAAGUCACUACCCCAAGCCAGCGGAGCUAGGAGACUACACAAUGGUCCCCAGCUAGAACCAAAGCCAACAUUCCCCAAUAUGCCAGCACCUGAAGAUGCAUCCUUGGGAGAAAUCUACUUGCUUCUUAAGGCAGCUUCAUGAAAGGGCCAGAGAUACCUGAUGCACUAGAUGUACAAUUCUCAACAUCGGUAGGAACAAGUAGGAAAAGGCAAGUAAGCAGACAGCUCCUAUAGUAACUCUGAAGAGAUGCCGGCAAUUGGAAUGGGUGAAAUGCCUGAUGAAGAAUCCAAAAGAAUGAUUAUUAAAGAGCUCAAUGAUUAUAUAAUUGUUACAGUUUAAAGGUGAAGUGUCCUCCACAAACUCAUGUAUUGAGGGCUUGGUCCCCAGCGUGGCAAUCUUCAGUGGUGGGGCCUGGAGAGGUCAGGGUGCAAACUCACUUGAUGAAUGGAUUCAUCCACUGAUGGGUUCAUAGCUGAAGGCACUGUUGGGAGGCAGAAUGAAUUAAUCGGAUGAAUUAGUCACUGGGGUGUGCCUUUGAAGGGUAUUUUUCCUCUCAGGCUAUUUCCUUUUUUCUCUCUGCUUUCCAGCUGCCACGAUGUGAGCAGCUUUGCUGCACUACAUUCUUCCGCCAAUUUGUUCCUGCCUUGGAGCCAGCUGACCAUAGACUGAAACUUCUGAAACCAUGAGCCCAAACAAACUUUUUUUCUUUGAAGUUGUGUAUGUCAGGUAUUUUAUCCCACCGACAAAAACCUAAUAGGAUAAUGUUCUAGAGACCAAUUCAGCACUGACUUACUAUUCCUUUGUCAAAAUUUUACCCCAAUUUAAAUUUUCAUAAGGAAUUUUCAGGAGAAUAUCUGGUAUAAAUGGAAACCAAUAAAUCUUGAAGUUUAUCUUGUUACAUAUAUUAUCAUAAAUAUUACAUUUUUUGACACAUUGUAAUAGGCAAGUAUGAGCCGUUGUCGCAGAAUCAGGCACAGUUAAACAGGGAUUGCUGAGGGUGUGGGGUACAGGGCAGGGACCGUGGAAGUUGGGGGUUUAGCCACAGGCUUCCAGCACACUACAUAUAUUGAUAAACUCUUGCUGUGCAUUUAGUUCUGAAUUUCCUGAAACUUGCCACCAGAAGAAUUUCUUAGAACUUUCUACCAAUGUUUAGACAACUCCAUUUAUUGC